ACGUAUAUAUAUGGACGAGACAUGUUGUUCUAUACAUACAAUUGCUUAUAUAAAUAGCACCCAUUCUGACGUUGAACGCAUAAACAUAUCGCUGUCUCGUUUUAACUCAGCACUAUAACCGAUGACAAAAGAAUAUGACAGUAUUUCAGUACGUACAUAAAGUGGAACAUGAAUAUGCGUAAAUACCUAAUGCGACCGAAAAUCCGCCAUGUUUUGUUCUGUGAAUGUCAUUGUCAGUGAGUUCAGGCGGUAGAUGUCCUGUCAAAACGUCGCGAGAAAAGUGAAAUAAUUUAAUUAUCUUAAAAAAAAAGCGUGGUAACUGAAUAUAUUUGCAGGUGAAUGUGAAUAAUUACGGUGAAAAUAUGCCAGUGUGUAGUGUGAUAGGCUGCGGCAUCAGAAAGACACCAAAUCAGUCAUCUUUGACCUUACACAGGGGCGGCUCACUCCGCGUCGUUCAUCUAAUGGUGCAAUUACCCUACUGCAAUUUGUAAAUAUUUUUUUAUUUUUAAUGAAAUAAAUAUUCUGAAGGUG
rnacentral:lncRNA from 1 species